GUGGGGUUGUGGCUCAGUGGCAGAGCGCUUGUCUAGCACAUGCGAGGCCCUGGGUUUGAUCCUCAGCACCACA
rnacentral:tRNA from 1 species